UACGAAGGGGGGCUAGCGUUGCUCGGAUUUACUGGGCGUAAAGGGCGCGUAGGCGGACAGUUUAGUCAGAGGUGAAAGCCCCUCGGCUCAACCGAGGAACGGCGCCCGAAACUGCUUCUCUUGAGUCCCGGAGAGGAAGGUGGAAUUCCCGGUGUAGCGGUGAAAUGUGUAGAGAUCGGGAGGAACACCGGUGGCGAAGGCGGCCUUCUGGACGGUGACUGACGCUGAGGCGCGAAAGCGUGGGGAGCAAACGGG
rnacentral:rRNA from 1 species